AGAUAAACUGUCAGAUAAAAUUCGUUCUUCGAAAAUUUGUGGUUGUCAUUUUACCGGGAACUUCUUUCUUAUAUUUAUUCAGUUUUAUAGGCAAAUUACACUGAUGUGUUCGCAAUGGUCUAGCCUGUGGUCUAGCAAACAACAAAAUUCGAUUAAAUUUGCCCAUUUCAGCGUUUUAUCCCCAUUUCAGCGUUUUAUCCCCAUUUCAGUGUUUUAUCCCCAUUUCAGCGUUUUACUCCGAUUUCAGCGUUUUAUCCCCAUUUCAGCGUUUUAUCCCCAUUUCAGCGUUUUAUCCCCAUUUCAGCUUCCGCUUUCAGUUUCCGUUUCCGCGAUUCAGUUUCAGCGUUUUAUUCUUAUAUACCCAUUCGUGAUUCGUAACAAUUUGGCUAAUAAAAUUACUGUACAUGUGCGUAUGAGGCGCGAGUCUCUGGUCUAUUUCUAUUAACUGUGGCGCAAGUUGUCAAAGAUAGAUCAUUCUAUACCGAAACUCCUUCCCUUUCCUCCCUUUUUCUUUAGUUAUUAUGUGCUAUCAUUUUCGAUCAUUUUCUUAAUAGAUUAGUUUUGUUCAAGGUGAUGGGAAGAAGGUUGCACCUUUUCUAUUACAGUAAAACUGUUAAUUUGUCAAUAUUGUGCACAUUGAAAC